GCUCCAUCGCGAACCAGGAUAAAAUCGACAGUGUUAUAUUUGCUCUUUAUUUCCGCACAUAUAAUUGCUAAACAACACGGUAAAAAUAUUUAAAACUUGGAAAAUAUUUUUAAAAGGCAAUUAUAAUUUUUAAAUUGGACAUUAAGCUAUUCAACCCCCCCUUCUAGCUUAAUUCAACGCCUUAAUCAGGACCUAACAAUCUACAAUUGUAGAAUUGAUUUCGAAUUUACAGUUUAACAUAAUUUAUGCAUAAAUUUAUAUUCUUCAUCUAAAUUCUCAAUACUUUCUUCUACAAGCCGUUUUAAGUCAUCUACGAAAUGCAUUUUAUUUCAGAACUCUGCUCUUCAUUUGUCUCAGAAUGCUGACACACCAGGAACCUUCAAAUCAAUUACCAAAAGGGUGAAAAAGGGAGGGGCGGGUUGAUGCUGCACUGGCCCUGUUCAUGAGAUGAGAAGCAACUCCUGUAAUGCGGAUAUAGUUCUCUUCAAUAUCUGUAUUGAUUCCUUUGGCAAGCAUGAUAGGAGUACUCUACAAAGCUAAUAGAUUGGACUAAGCUGUGAAUAUGUAGGAGCAUAUGUAGCUGAACAGGAAAGUCCCAUGUGCAUAUGCUUAUAACACCAUGAUUAUGGGUUAUGGACUGGCGGGAAAGUUUGAUGGGAAGACCUGGAGCCUGAAAGAUCCGGAAGUGAGCGGUCUUGGAGCCCCAGCUAUGGGUAUAGGUCCAGGGGCAGAAGGCAUACUAACAUUCUCUGAAAUAGAGAAUCACAACCUGGCAAAUAAGGCCACUGUGGCACAUGACGCCACAACUAUCUCUACUUAUUCAGUAGCAGGGAGUACAUGGAUUGGUUAUGAUGAUAUUGUAUCGACGAGUGUUAAGAUUGGAUAUGCAUAGUCCCUUAGAAUUUGUAGUUACUUCUUUUGGGCCCUCAAUGGUGAUCACAACCGGAGCAUUUCCGGAACAGCAUCCGAGUUAUGGAUUGAUUAAGAUGAAUAAAGGCUGACGAGAUCAGGAGCUUCAACUACACUCUCCAUUUUACUUUUCUGAAAUUCAACAACCUGGCUAACUAUGAUUGGAUUUGGGGAAGACCAUACAUAUUUUUCUUCUUGUGUUGUAUCUGAUAAUUUUGUGAAAUUUAUUGCCAUUCAGUUCAUUUUAUUUAACAGCCUA